GCCAGACUCCUACGGGAGGCAGCAGUGAGGAAUAUUGGUCAAUGGACGCAAGUCUGAACCAGCCAUGCCGCGUGCAGGAUGACGGCUCUAUGAGUUGUAAACUGCUUUUGUACGAGGGUAAACCCCGAUACGUGUAUCGGGUUGAAAGUAUCGUACGAAUAAGGAUCGGCUAACUCCGUGCCAGCAGCCGCGGUAAUACGGAGGAUCCGAGCGUUAUCCGGAUUUAUUGGGUUUAAAGGGUGCGUAGGCGGUUUGAUAAGUUAGAGGUGAAAUGUCGGGGCUCAACCCCGAAACUGCCUCUAAUACUGUUGGACUAGAGAAUAGUUGCGGUAGGCGGAAUGUAUGGUGUAGCGGUGAAAUGCUUAGAGAUCAUACAGAACACCGAUUGCGAAGGCAUCUGACGAAUCGGAGAUUGACGCUGAUGCACGAAAGCGUGGGUAUCGAACAGGAUUAGAUACCCCUGUA
rnacentral:rRNA from 1 species